rnacentral:sRNA from 1 species
GCGCCAGUUCGAAUGGGAUACUCAUCACUAAAAUCAGAAAACCGAGACAGCUUCUUUUGCUAAUGGCGGGCCACAUAAAUCUGCGAAUGCAGACUAAGUUUCAAACCGGUGGAUUACAAAGGCGGAGAGCCCUCAAAUCAUUACACUCGGAGUUUCAUCACAUCACUGGGCAAC